rnacentral:misc_RNA from 1 species
CAGAAUCCUGAUGAGGAAGAUGUUGAGGCUUUAUGCAAACUAAUGAGCACAAUUGGAUAUAUGAUUGACCAUCCCAAAGCCAAGGAGCAUAUGGAUGCCUAUUUUGACACGAUGGCAAAGUUAUCAAACAACAUGAAACUAUCUUCGAGGGUAAGGUUUAUGUUAAGGGAUGCCAUUGAUCUGAGAAAGAACAAAUGGCAGCAGAGGAGGAAGGAAAAAAGAUUGAGGAAGUGCAUAGAGACGCUGCUCAAGAACGGCAGCAUCAAACUAGUAGGCUGUCUCGCAAUCCUAGCAUAAAUUCCUCUGCAAGAAAGGCACUUGGGGAUUUUGGGCCUAGAGGUUCGGCCAUGUUAUCUUCCCCAAAUGCUCAGAUGGGUGGUUUCCAUGGUUUGCCUGCCCAGGUUCGCGGGUAUGGGACCCAGGAUGUUCGUUUUGAGGAGAGGCAGCCAUAUGAGGCUAGGACUUUGUCAGUUCCCUUACCUCGGCCUCUUGGUGAUGAUUCAAUUACUUUGGGUCCACAAGGUGGGCUUGCCAGAGGAAUGUCUAUUAGAGGGCUACCUGCAAUGGCAAGCACUCCUGUAGCUGAUCUCUCUGCUAGCUCAGGCGACUCGAGAAGAAUCGCCGCAGGUUUGAAUGGUUUUAGUACUGUGUCUGA